rnacentral:rRNA from 1 species
UUGGGAGCUCUCCCAUAUGGUCGACCUGCAGGCGGCCGCGAAUUCACUAGUGAUUAGAGUUUGAUCAUGGCUCAGGACGAACGCUGGCGGCGCGCUUAACACAUGCAAGUCGAGCGAGAACCAGGACUUCGGUCCUGGGGACAGCGGCGAACGGGUGAGUAACACGUGGGUAAUCUGCCCUCGAUACUGGGAUAGCCCGGGGAAACCCGGAUUAAUACCGGAUAGCCUCUCGAGCUCAAUGGCUCGUGAGAAAAGGUAGCUUCGGCCUCCGAUCGAGGAUGAGCCCGCGGCGGAUUAGCUUGUUGGCGGGGUAACGGCCCACCAAGACGACGAUCCGUAGCUGGUCUGAGAGGACGAUCAGCCACACUGGGACUGAGACACGGCCCAGACUCCUACGGGAGGCAGCAGUGGGGAAUCUUGCGCAAUGGGCGAAAGCCUGACGCAGCGACGCCGCGUGGGGGAAGAAGGCCUUCGGGUUGUAAACCUCUUUCAGGUGGGACGAAGCCACUCGGGUUAAUAGCCCAGAGGGUGACGGUACCGCCAGAAAAAGACCCGGCUAACUACGUGACAGCAGCCGCGGUAAUAAUCGAAUUCCCGCGGCCGCCAUGGCG